AACGAACGCUGGCGGCAUGCCUAACACAUGCAAGUCGAACGAGACCUUCGGGUCUAGUGGCGCACGGGUGCGUAACGCGUGGGAACCUGCCCUUAGGUUCGGAAUAACUCCCCGAAAGGGGUGCUAAUACCGGAUAAUGUCUUCGGACCAAAGAUUUAUCGCCUUUGGAUGGGCCCGCGUUGGAUUAGCUAGUUGGUAGGGUAAAAGCCUACCAAGGCGACGAUCCAUAGCUGGUCUGAGAGGAUGAUCAGCCACACUGGGACUGAGACACGGCCCAGACUCCUACGGGAGGCAGCAGUGGGGAAUAUUGGACAAUGGGCGAAAGCCUGAUACAGCAAUGCCGCGUGAGUGAUGAAGGCCUUAGGGUUGUAAAGCUCUUUUACCCGAGAUGAUAAUGACAGUACCGGGAGAAUAAGCUCCGGCUAACUCCGUG
rnacentral:rRNA from 1 species